UCAGGGCGGGAGAUCAUUUUCUCUCCCUGGCACGCCUCUGCAGCCAUCUGGCUGAGGGGGCUGUUGUUCAAACCUCUGGAUCACGGACUGUUUGUUUUUCAGGAGUUUGCAGCUGAUUAUUUUCAUCAGAUUCCCUACAACCCACUGCGCUGGCUCCCUUUGCAGGCAAACCUGCAUAGCCAGCUCAUCCUCCCGGCCGGGUUCACAGUCCCCUCACAGAGAAGCAGUCGCCGCGCUCUUCCCUAACCGAUGAAGGGGCCCUGGGCCAGGAUGGGGCCUUCGCCUCUGGAUGCCUGGGCCAGCCCGCCAGAUGUUCCGGCUGAUGUCAACUGGAGAGACUGCAGUGAGAGGGGCAUUUGAGAGAUCGGAAAGCCCCUGGUGGCCUGACCAGCUCCAGUGGCCAUCCCAGCUCUGAAAAGGCAGCGUCAACCUUUUCUGAGCAUCUCCAGAGAGGGGGAAUGUGAAGAUCUCAGAGAGGCCUGUUACUCUCGCUGUAUGGCAGCUGGGCCUCCAUUUCCUCCUCUGGGGGUGGGGGACAGUCAAGUUUUAGGUCCCUGGGCUAAUGCAUAUGCAUACAUAUGCCUACACACGUAAUGAUACAGGUAAAAGGCCCAAGGCCGUGUCUGGACAUAGCAGGUUUGCAGUAAAUACCAUGAGUUCUCUUCUUUCACCUCUUCAAAGAUACGAGGCCCUGGCCAUUCUGCUCCACAGCUUCAAGCACAAGCAAGAGGGCUGGUGGUCCUCACCGUGGGAGACAGGGUGCAGAGACUGAGGACUUCCCUUCCAGAUGGGAUAAGAACGCGCAGAGAAAUCCCACCUGAGCAACAAGAAUACACACCCAAGGUCCCUCAGAAUAAGCUUCUGUGUGUGCCAGAUCGCCCAGAAAAUGUAGCCUUUUAUACCAGGUGACCGACCCAGUCCCUUCUGCAGACAGCUGAUGGAGCUCCAAUCCAAGCUGGGCCAAUGAGACUGUCCCUCCCAAGAAUUUGAACUACAGAGGCCUAGUCAAUUGGCAUGCCUUCAUCAAACAUUUGAUGAGCAGCCUCCUCGAACCAUGCCCUGAGCUUGCACAGCUGUAUAUUUUAGCCAAUGUGCUACAAUGCAAGCCUGUCUGAAGUCACCAAGAGGACAAAAUCAAGAUGAGACCAGGCCAGCUUUGCAGAAUCCAGUGGGAGUUUGUUGUCUAUGUGACAGCAGCUGACUAAAGAGAGAGAGGCAAUUUUCCAAAGUUGUAUGUGGAAUAAGAAGUCCCCCCACCUCAUAAUGAUGCCUCCACUGGUCCCCUUCCAAUGCUCCUGCCACCAUAACAAUCCACUCCCGAAUAAGCAGCCCACUCUCAGAAGAGGCAGAAGAAAGUGGAAAGCUUGAGGGGUUCUUUGGGGGCUCCAUCCUGCUCCUAUCUUCUUCUUGGGCCUUUUGGCAUCUUGGUGUUUGCCAAUAAGCCAACCCCAGGUAGACCCAGCCAUCAAUAGCAGGCAUGUAAUCCCAUGCAUCCAGCUUCCAGGGUCCAUACAAAGCUAGAGAAGCAUCUACAUGGCAAACAGCAAUGACGAAGGAUCUUAUCACCAGACAAAUACCUACAACUGUAGUUUUUUUAACCUUGGCUGUGGGAGCUUUUAAAAACCCAAUACCCUACAUCUAAAACCAUAAAAAUCAGAAUCUCUAGGGGUCGGACACAGAUAUCAGCAUUUUUACCUUUAAAAAAAUGAGAUAUACUUGACAUACCUCGGAAAUUUAUAGAACCUAACUAUACAUCUUAAUGUAUUUUUUUAUUAACACAUAAUGUAUUAUUUGUUUCAGGGGUACAGGUCUGUGAUUCAUCAGUCUUACACAAUUCACAGCGCUCACCAUAGCACAUACCCUCCCCAAUGUCCAUCACCCAGCCACCCCAUCCCUCCCACACCCCAUCCACUCCAGCAACCCUCUUUGUUUCCUGAGAUUAAGAGUCUCUUAUGGUUUGUCUCCUUCUCUGGUUUUGUCUUGUUUCAUUUUUCCCUCCCUUCCCCUAUGAUCCUCUGUCUUGUUUCUCAAAUUCCUCAUAUCGGUGAGAUCAUAUGAUAAUUAUCUUUCUCUGAUUGACUUAUUUUGCUACAUCUUAAUGUAUUUUAACAAAUGCAUAGGGGCGCCUGGGUGGCUCAGUCAAUUAAGCACCUGCCUUCGGCUCAGGUCAUGAUCUUCAGGUCCCGGGAUCGAGCCCCGCAUUGGGCUCCCUGCUCAGCAGGGAGUCUGCUUCUCUCUCUUUCUCUCCCUCCCUCCCCGUCUGCCCCUCCCCAUUGCUUGUUCUCUCUCUCAAAUAAAUAAAUAAAAUCUUUAAAAAAAAUGCAUAGACCUGUGUAGCUUAUACCCUUAUCAAGACAUGAAACACUUCUAUCACCUCAGAAAAUUCCCUCCUGUCCCUUCCCAAUCAAUCCCCAUCCUCAGACCUCAAGAUGCAACCAUUGUUCUGAUUUUCCUACC